ensembl:lncRNA
GUCAGCCCCUCCCAGACUGUACUUGGAAGGUGAAGACACUCAUCAUUUGCCAGCAUGUUUCUGAGACUUUAUUUUUCUUCAUUUUCCAAAGAUGAAAACCAAGCAAAAAGCAGAGGCAUCAGUUUUUCUCUACAAGCUGACUUGUAGAAACAUUUGUAGAGACACUCCAACCAAUCCAGUGGAAGCAUUUCCUUUACUUGGAUGGAUGAACUCCAUUCAUUCAAGGAUGGUCAUGGGAACUGUCGGAGCCAAGGAGGUGCAAAGGUACUUUUGGUGGAUUCUUUACCUGUUGAGCCAUCAGAGAACUCCAACCUCAUUUAAAUAGGAAAAAAGCAAAUUAACCCACAGUGAAAACAUUUGUGUCAGUGAGGCUGCUGGAACGGAAGUUUGUUCGUGAGCAAGCAGAUUAGAAUCACCUCUGCAGAAAAGAAAACAGAUAAUAAACAAUGUACAUUAUUAUGGGCUGAAUGUUAAUG